AGUGAACGCUGGCGGUAGGCCUAACACAUGCAAGUCGAACGGAAGCAUAGUAAGAUCUCUCCCUUACGGGUGGCGAGUGGCGGAUGGGUGAGACAUACAUAAGAAUCUACUUUUUCGUGGGGGACUACGUAGAGCAACUUCCGCUAAUACCUAAUAUGUCCUACGGGUGAAAGCAGGAGAUAUUCGUACCUUGCCUGAUUGAAUGAGCCGAUGUCGUAUUAGCUAGUUGGCGAGGUAAAGGCCCACCAAGGCGACGAUCCGUAGCUGGUCUGAGAGGAUGAUCAGCCACACUGGAACUGAGACACGGUCCAGACUCCUACGGGAGGCAGCAGUGGGGAAUAUUGGACAAUGGGCGCAAGCCUGAUCCAGCCAUACCGCGUGGGUGAAGAAGGCCUUCGGGUUGUAAAGCCCUUUUGUUGGGAAAGAAAAGCAGCAGGUUAAUACCCCGCUGUUCUGACGGUACCCAAAGAAUAAGCACCGGCUAACUUCGUG
rnacentral:rRNA from 1 species